rnacentral:rRNA from 1 species
AUGGAGUUUGUAUCCAAUGGCAACCUCUACGACAUCCUUCAUUGCAGCAGCAGCAAUGCUAAUGGUUGUAUCCCCUUCCCUUUGGACAAACGUUUGGACAUUGCCAUUGAGUCCGCUGAAGCAUUAUCAUGCAUGCAUUCAAUGUAUAGUCCUGUUCUUCACGGUGACAUAAAACCCGCUAACAUACUGCUAGAUGAAAAUUUUCGGCCAAAGAUAUCAGAUUUUGGGAUAGCAAGAUUGCUUGCGGCUGACAAGUCUCAGCAUACCAGACAUCUCAUUGGUUCCAUAGGUUACAUGGACCCUUUGUUCUUGCAGAGUGGGAUUCUAAUUCCAAAGAGUGAUGUAUACAGUUUUGGAGUCGUUUUGUUGGAAAUCAUCACCCGAAAGAAAGCUGUGGACGGUGAUAACAUCCUUGCUAAAAGUUUCCCCGAAGCCCUGAGAAAAGGGAAAAAGGUGAGACAAAUGUUCGAUGAGGAAAUUAUUACAGAUGAUAAAACGAACAUGAAAUUUCUUGAAAAUGUCGCAAAGCUAGCAGCUGAAUGCUUGAAGUUGGAGGAAAAAAUGCGUCCAGAAAUGUCUGAAGUAGCGGACAGACUUAGGACAAUUAGAAAAGCUUACCACCUGCGCAAGGGAAGACAUUCUACAGAGGAUGUGGCACCGGUCCCUGAAAGUGGAAAGGCCAAGGAUGUGGUACCGAUCAUUUCCAUGGAUGAACUGAUGAAAAUAACCUGGAAUUUUGGUAGUCGUGCUCUAAUGGGAGAGAACAUAUAUGGUGUAGUUUUCUUGGGAGUGCUGAAAGAUGGACAUAAACCCACAAUCAUGAAGCUUUUUCCUACUAGUACUAUUUUAGAGGUCUUGGCUGCAUGCCUUACCCGCCGUCGCCAUUCCAAUCAAUGCUUCCAAAAUUAUCAGUAUAACAAGGCAUACCUUCUAACUACCACUCUCCUCGUUCAGGUUCCUGUGGUCACAAGAUUCAGACAUGAGAAUGUUCUCCAGCUUCUCGGAUAUCUAGUUGAAGCAGUCAACCGUUUUCUUGCUUACGAGUAUACAUCCAGGGGAUCCUUGCACGAUAUUCUUCACAGGAAAAACAAUAUUUGGGGAGCUCGACCAGGACAGGUUUUAUCAUGGGCACAACGCGUGAAGAUUGCCCUGGGUGCUGCUAUUGGGCUUGAGUUCCUCCACGAAAAGGCACAACCUUGCGUUAUCCUCACUGGCAUCAGGUCCAGCAACAUAUUUCUCUUUGACAACGACGUUGCAAAGAUUGGUUACCCUGGUUUUUCCUUGGAGGCCCCUGAUUACAGCGACAAUCUUCUUUUGGAUCGCCCCGGUGGAAUUCCCAGAUCCUUUUAUGAUGCGCCUGAGUGCGCAACAGAAGGAUAUGUACAAUUUUCCACAGAGAGCGAUGUCUACAGCUUUGGGGUUGUGCUACUAGAACUUUUAACUGGUCGAAAAGCAGUUGAUCCUACACUACCCCGUGACCAACAAUACCUCGUGACAUGGGCUGCACCAAGACUUGAUGAACGCAAGGUACAUCAAUGCGUGGAUCCAAGACUUGGAGGAGAUUACUCACCCAAGGUUGUCCCCAAGGUAUGUUGUUAA